UUGCACACCACCUCCUUUCCUGGGAGUGGAGAAGCCCCAGCCAGAACCCUUGCCUUCCCCAAGAGGCACGCUCAGAGGGACAUUCUGCCCUUCCUCACUGCCCCUAGAGCCAACAUCACACCUGGCUUUGGGGCCCUAGAACCUCAGCCCGCGCCCCUCCCCUUCCACCCCCAGCCAUCCCUGCUCUGUGCCCAGUGAUCUUGGGGUCACCACAACCCCAUGGCGCCUUGAGGCCUCACCUUUCCUGGCCUCUCAGCAUCCUGGGACACUGAUGGUCAUGCCUUCCUUCUAGAAAGUUCUCUCCGAGGCUGUGGCUUCCAGGAUGAGCACUCUCCUCCUCCCACUUCCUCCCCUUCUCCUUCCCCCUCCUCCCUUCUCCCUGGAGAGGUCUUUCUCCAAGCCCCAGUCUUCCUCCCCACCCGGUGCCCCUCCCGCUGACAUUUGUCUGCAGUGCCUGUCUCCGCUCCCGCUAGGAAGCCUCCCCUCCGGCAUCUCCAAUCCAUCUCUGGGUCCUGCUCCACCUGCAUUUCCCUAGACCUGUCCUGGCCACCCUCACCCUGGGACACCUCCUGCCCGUGGAGAGCUCCUCUGAUAGGUGCCGUCCUUGGUCUUGGGGGUCCUUUCUCCCUAAUUCUACUUCUGUUUUGGGGGCGUGGGAACCCAGGGUCUUAACCCCAGCCAUUCCCCCUCCCAGGGGCCACUUCCCUCUGAAGCUUAGCCCAGCUCUGUGACCCCCACAGGCCUGCCCCCACCUGGUCCUCACUCCCCUGCAUAGCCACACUGUGGGGGCUCCAUGCUUCCCAGCCCAUAGGAAGCCCUGUUCCCAGAGGGGGCCAUUCUGUUUUAGUUGGAGCAGUGGCCAGAGGCAAAGGUCAGAAGGCAAAGGUCAUAAAAGUUUGUCUCUACCUGCCAGCAUCUGCCCCUGCUACCGCAUCUUCUCCCCUCUCCACCCAAACCCUCCCUCAGCUCCUGCCUCCACCUCUCCAGAGGCACAGACAACAGGGUUCUGAUCUUGGGUCAUGGUGCUCCCCCUGCCAGCCUCAGUCCGAGACCUCUGUGAAUGGGGGUGAUGGCUAAUGGGAUGAGGGGACCACCUCCUGGUGGCUGCAGGGACUGGGGUGAGGGUGCUGUAGGCUCUGCCUAAGUCAAGUGCCAUGGGGCUGAAGAGACGGCGCACCGGCCCUGGAGAAGAGUCCUCCCUGCCCUCCUGUGUCUGGCCUUGUUUCCUGGAGGACAGGUCCCCACGGGGCAGAGACCCAGCAGUCCCAGGUUCCUUAGCCUCUGCCACCUCCAGGCCAUGUCUGCUAACCCUGUCUGCCUUCAGCAAGCUUCGUUUUACCUGGGUAGGGUUCUUAGCCUCCGCCACCCCCAGGCGAUGUCUGCUAACCCUGCCUGCCCUCAGCAAGCUUCCUGUUUCCUGGGUUUAGCCAGAAUCCUCCAGACAGGUGUUUCGUGCCAUCCUGAACAAAAUAUGUGUUUCAACUGCUAUCCAGUUCUGGUUUCCCUUGACAUUGGUGAGACAUAUAAACAGAGGGCAGCUGGGAAUGGAGGGGGCAGGGCCUUCCCAUGCACAGUGGGGGGUGGGGGGACCUGCCCUCCAUCCAGUCCCCAGGGUCCUACUCAUUGCAGGGGGCCCUCCUGGAGGUGUCCUUGGUCCUGUACUGCAGGGUGGGCUGCAACGGGGCUGGGGGCAGGUCUGCACCCCCCACCCCUGAGAUGUGGGUUUGUCUAUCUGUGCUGGGGAUUCUGGAGACGGCACCUGCAGAACUUAAU
rnacentral:lncRNA from 1 species